rnacentral:misc_RNA from 1 species
CCGAGUUUACAACUCCCAAACCCCAUGUGAACGUUACCAACCUGUUGCCUCGGCGGGAUCUCUGCCCCGGGCGCGUCGCAGCCCCGGACCAAGGCGCCCGCCGGAGGACCAACCAAAAACCCUUGUAUGCCCCCUCGCGGGUUUUUUUUUACUGUCUGAGCCAUCUCGGCGCCCCUCGCGGGCGUUUCGAAAAUGAAUCA